GGACGCCUUGAACAGUUACACACCGGUUUCCAACGAACCCCGCUCGGAUUCCACGACUUCAUCUCAUGGAGGAGCCGACUUGCCCUGGGACAGAUAAGGGCUCUCAGAGAAAGCGGCCAGUCACCACGGCCGCCCUAUCCGACUGGGUGAUCGGGGCCUCGCCGUCCUUUCUGGAGCACUACCCGCUCGCUCUUCUUCUUUGCACCCUUCCGAAAGAAGCCCCACUGGGGUGAAGCUGGAAUUCAAGCGUGGGUGGUGAACUUUGAAGCCGCGAGCUGAUGGAGGGAGGAGAGACGGAUUUCCAAGCUGCCCUCUCUUUCUCUGAGCCAACUUUGACGUUCUCUCCCGGCUCAGGCUGCGGUCGCGGGAAAAAUCUUGGCAGUGGGGCACACAGGGGCUCAGCCGCCGGCGGGGAUGCGACUAGCGCCCGGCCCUCGCCACUAGGCGCCGCUGCGCGCACGCGGAUACCCGCCCCAGGCCGCUGCGCCAGCCCAGCGAACGGCCUCGAGGGAGGACAGCAGAAAGGGAUUUGCCGUAGUAACAAUUUUAAGAAAUGUUUCUAGGAUAUUAAUUGUUUUCUUCGUUGUCCCACCGCCGUCCUACGCAUUUGGAGAGGCCGGGUGGCUGGGAAUCACAGUAGGUUGAAGGAAUUCUUAGCCGGGUCCCAAGGAUCUCCCCAUCCCGGACACCUUUCUCAAGCCAUCCCGGACACCUUUCUCAUGCCUUGGUCCCAGGAAGCGGCUUCCCCUCUAUCGACAUCCGCGCUUCCCGCGCUGCUAGGCGGGCCCACAGUGCAGCCUCAUGGUACAGCUGGUACCGCUCACCUGGAGGCUCCUAUCUGCCACGUUUAGCGGAGUGCCGCAGGUACAAAGCCAUCGCCUGACAUUAACAUUUGAUAAACGGUAAAAAAAAAAAAAAAAGACCCCGAUGCUGGGGACAAUUGAGGGCAAGAGGAGAAGGGGGCGACAGAGGAUGAGAUGGUUGGAUGGCAUCACUGACUCAAUGGACACUGAC
ensembl:lncRNA